rnacentral:lncRNA from 1 species
AGAUUAUCAUACUAUUACAUAGACUUCCUUUUGCUUUUCAGAAAACCCAUAACAGGUGGUUUGCAGGCGCACAGCUGACCUCUCUGUUAGACCUGGUCCUGUCCCUCCCUGAGGGCGCUGAGACAGAUUUACUGCAGAACUCAGACCGGAUUAUGGCUUCACUAAAUUUGUUGAGGUAUUUGGUUAUCAAAGAUAAUGAAGAUGACAACCAAACUGGAUUAUGGACAGAGCUUGGAAAGAUUGAAAAUAACUUUCUACAGCCACUUCAUGUAGGACUUAAUAUGUCAAAGGCACAUUAUGAAGCAGAGAUUAAAAACAGCCAACAAAAUAGCCAAGCUGCCUCAAUGUGUAAAAGUGUUUGUUCUGUGACUGUAGGCGGAGAAGAAAUCCCCACUAUGCCUCCUGAGAUGCAGCUUAAGGUCUUACAUUCCGCCCUCUUCACAUUCGACUUGAUUGAAAGUGUCCUGGCUCGAGUCGAAGAACUCAUUGAAAUCAAAUCAAAGUCUACCUCUGAGGAAAACGCUGGGAUGAAGUAAAAGCUCUACUUCAUGAAUAAAAACCAAUAAAAUGCCAUUUUUCAUUAUAGUU